rnacentral:lncRNA from 1 species
ACAGGACCCGCCGGCCCCUCCUGUGGACUAACAUCCUGGUGUGGGAAGCAGUGAUUGACACCCUGCACGACCGAACGACUGAAGAUGACCAGGCACUAACUGUCUCUCCUUUUCCAUCUGCCGUUUGGAUGGUAUUGUUUUCAUGAGCUUGUAGAAAUUUCACUUGCCAACUGCCUUUUGCUUCCUGUGUUGCCACAGUUCUUAUUUACAGUAUACCUGAGUAAAUGAUUUUAUUGAAAAGUUGAGGGCUGUGUUGGUUGGCCUGAGCUUAAACAUUCCAUUCAUUCUCCCUGGAACCCUGACCGUAGGGUCUGUGGUGGUUUCUGGCCCAACUGAAGGAAAAUUAAGAUUUCUGCAUUUAAGAUUCUAUUUUAAGUGGUUUUGAUAGACUUUAAUUCUUUUCAUAAAGUAUUUAUUUGGGGUUGUCUGGUAUGAGUGACAGAGCCACGCUGUAGUCACUUACUGUGGCAGUUUAUCUGUGGGUGGCAGUUUUCUGUAGUCCUUGACGGUGACGCUUCAGAACAUUUUCCUUACAAAGUCCAGCUGGCUUAUAUGGCUAGAAUAGGAAAAUCGAAUUGGUUGUUUACUGAUUUUUUUUUAAAUUCCCAUUAAAGAUUUGAUGUUAAGAAUACUUUAAAUAAACAUGAUUGAUUAAU